GACGAACGCUGGCGGCGUGCUUAACACAUGCAAGUCGAACGGAAAGGCCCUGCUUUUGUGGGGUGCUCGAGUGGCGAACGGGUGAGUAACACGUGAGUAACCUGCCCUUGACUUUGGGAUAACUUCAGGAAACUGGGGCUAAUACCGGAUAGGAGCUCCUGCUGCAUGGUGGGGGUUGGAAAGUUUCGGCGGUUGGGGAUGGACUCGCGGCUUAUCAGCUUGUUGGUGGGGUAGUGGCUUACCAAGGCUUUGACGGGUAGCCGGCCUGAGAGGGUGACCGGCCACAUUGGGACUGAGAUACGGCCCAGACUCCUACGGGAGGCAGCAGUGGGGAAUAUUGCACAAUGGGCGGAAGCCUGAUGCAGCAACGCCGCGUGCGGGAUGACGGCCUUCGGGUUGUAAACCGCUUUCGCCUGUGACGAAGCGUGAGUGACGGUAAUGGGUAAAGAAGCACCGGCUAACUACGUGCCAGCAGCCGCGGUGAUACGUAGGGUGCGAGCGUUGUCCGGAUUUAUUGGGCGUAAAGGGCUCGUAGGUGGUUGAUCGCGUCGGAAGUGUAAUCUUGGGGCUUAACCCUGAGCGUGCUUUCGAUACGGGUUGACUUGAGGAAGGUAGGGGAGAAUGGAAUUCCUGGUGGAGCGGUGGAAUGCGCAGAUAUCAGGAGGAACACCAGUGGCGAAGGCGGUUCUCUGGGCCUUUCCUGACGCUGAGGAGCGAAAGCGUGGGGAGCGAACAGGCUUAGAUACCCUGGUAGUCCACGCUGUAAACGGUGGGUACUAGGUGUGGGGUCCAUUCCACGGGUUCCGUGCCGUAGCUAACGCUUUAAGUACCCCGCCUGGGGAGUACGGCCGCAAGGCUAAAACUCAAAGGAAUUGACGGGGCCCCGCACAAGCGGCGGAGCAUGCGGAUUAAUUCGAUGCAACGCGUAGAACCUUACCUGGGUUUGACAUGGAUCGGGAGCGCUCAGAGAUGGGUGUGCCUCUUUUGGGGUCGGUUCACAGGUGGUGCAUGGCUGUCGUCAGCUCGUGUCGUGAGAUGUUGGGUUAAGUCCCGCAACGAGCGCAACCCUUGUUCACUGUUGCCAGCACGUUAUGGUGGGGACUCAGUGGAGACCGCCGGGGUCAACUCGGAGGAAGGUGGGGAUGACAUCAAGUCAUCAUGCCCCUUAUGUCCAGGGCUUCACGCAUGCUACAAUGGCUGGUACAGAGAGUGGCGAGCCUGUGAGGGUGAGCGAAUCUCGGAAAGCCGGUCUCAGUUCGGAUUGGGGUCUGCAACUCGACCUCAUGAAGUCGGAGUCGCUAGUAAUCGCAGAUCAGCAACGCUGCGGUGAAUACGUUCCCGGGGCU
rnacentral:rRNA from 1 species